UGGGGAAUAUUGCGCAAUGGGCGAAAGCCUGACGCAGCGACGCCGCGUGGAGGAUGAAGGUCUUCGGAUUGUAAACUUCUGUUAAGUGGGAAAAAAGACUCGUUUUUAAUAGAGACGAGGGAUGAUUGUACCAUUAGAGAAAGCACUGGCUAACUUCGUGCCAGCAGCCGCGGUAAUACGAAGGGUGCGAGCGUUAUUCGGAAUCACUAGGGCGUAAAGGGUGUGUAGGCGGUGUAUUAAGUCUAUCGUUAAAUUCCUCGGCCUAACUGGGGACCCGCGAUGGAUACUGAUAUGCUGGAGGUUGGAAGAGAGGAGUGGAAUUCUCGGAGUAGCGGUAAAAUGCGUAGAUCUCGAGAGGAACACCAAUUGCGAAGGCAGCUCCUUGGUCCAUACCUGACGCUGAAACACGAAAGCGUGGGGAGCAAACAGG
rnacentral:rRNA from 1 species